CUCGCCUGGCCUCUCCUCUCGCGAGGGACUUGGGUCUGUCUUGGCUACAGCUGCCCAUGUAGAAUUCGGUUUAGCUGAACCAACCAUU